rnacentral:lncRNA from 1 species
GUUUACGAUGCCCUUCUAUGACAGGAUUAAUUGAUUCACACAUACAUUAAAACAAAAAUAACUAAACUGAAAUUUAGCUGGAAGCCUGGCUCCUCAUUUGUCAUAAACCCUGCUGUUGGUGAUAGCUGACAAAGACCCUAAUGCCGAACGGGGUUGAGGUUCCCUUCCUGACCUCACCUUUCUUUCUGAAUGGAAACAAGAGCCUUGGAAACAAACCAGAAUGCUUUAAGAUCUGCGAUGAUUAAGAACACCUGUGGCAACACCAAACAGAGCCCACAAACAUCGUGCUGAUGAGCAAGGACUAGGGAAGAAGAUGCUCAAGAAACAUCCAUGAAAACAACCAGGAGGGCUUUGAGAGAAUGCGGAGCUGGAGCUCGGAUCUUCCUUUCUGAAAAGCAUGAGAAAACCCAGAAGGCUCUGUCUUAAGAUAAAAAGACCAGGGACUUUCUAGGGGUCAUAAGAUUUAACCACAAUGUUGCUGCAAAUGCAUCUCGCAAACUACUAGGUGAAAUCAUGGAAAAUUCUGGAAGAAAAGGAGAGAGGUGGUCUAGCUCUGUUGCCCAUGCUGGAGUACACUGGUACAGUCAUAGCUCACUGCAGCUUUGACUUCCUGGAGACUCAAGGGAUCCUCCCACUUCAACCUCCUGUGUAGUGGGACUAAAUGCGUGUACCAGCACACCCAUCUAAUUUUUUAAAAAAUGUUUUUGUAGAGAUAAGAUCUUGCUUAUGUUGCCCAGGCUGGUCUCGAACUUCUGGCCUCAAGGAAUCCUGGCACUUGGCCUCCCAAAGUGCUGGGAUUACAGACAUGAGCCACUGUGCCCAGCUUAACUUAGUAUAGCUUUUAUAAGUUUAUUCUCCGACAUUUCACUUUCAGUUUUCUGGAUAAACUUAUUUUGUCAUCAAGUAGCAAUUUUGGUAACAUUAGUUUGGACAAUAGAGGGAAAUUUCAUGCAUAUCUUGUCUUAUCCAAAUGUUCAGAUACCUGUUUUUGAAACUUCAGGUAAUUCUAUUAAGGUAGAGUCUAGGUAGGUAUCCAUAUUAUAUUCUUGUUUAAAGGAGGGUUAUUCUCUAUAUACUGAAUGAUAAGAUUCUUUGAUUUAAAAAAAAAAUCAAAAGAUAUAUUUGAUAGCCCUAGGACCUAAAUGGGUUGCCAGGUUCAUAACUUAGAAGAAUUUGCUCUUUAUAACUUAGCUCAAGAAAUCAUGCUUUCAUUGCAUGCUUUCAAAACAUCCUGUCAAAAGACCUCACUGAAAUUAAUGGCUCAGAACCGAUGCUAAGCUUUCAAGGAUGCUGCAGUGAUUUAUUGAGUGGUGCCAGUCUCCGGCUUCACUGGGUGGAGAGCACUUGUCUUCAUGUAACAGGGCUAAUAUUACUUCAAGCUGUUGUCAGUUGACUCGGUAAAAUUGCUUAGAUACACUCCCCACACAGUUAGCUGGUGAUGAUUACCCUUAAGUAUUCACAGAGCAGAAGCCCUGGGGAAACACUAAUUAGCCACCCGCAAGGAAGAUGUUCCAGCCACAUAAACAAUCUCCUGAAGUCUCUGGGCUGUAAUGAGGACUAAGCCCCAGUGACAAAACCUGCCCUGUGCUGUGCUGCUGCAUCAAGUUUCAGCAAUUUUCAAGGAGAAAGUGAUUGGAGUCAGGCCCAGGGAUGCACGGAAUCCACUAAUCACCACAAAGAGACUUUGGGUACUGGAAAUCCACGGGGGAAAAUUGGCUCUUAUGAGCUAAAGGAGACACUUGCGUAUGUUGUUAAAAAGUGUGGGGGCAAUCUGCUUAAAUAUUUAUAUAUUUAAGGUAUAUUGGGGUCUCUUUGGUCUUUGCAUAGUUGAUACCUUGCUCUCUUUCUUUUAACUAACUAAAAAGACAAACAAUAAACCCAUAUCUUUACUCAAG